rnacentral:rRNA from 1 species
CCUACGGGUGGCAGCAGUGGGGAAUAUUGGGCAAUGGGCGCAAGCCUGACCCAGCAACGCCGCGUGAAGGAAGAAGGCUUUCGGGUUGUAAACUUCUUUUCUGAGGGACGAAGAAAGUGACGGUACCUCAGGAAUAAGCCACGGCUAACUACGUGCCAGCAGCCGCGGUAAUACGUAGGUGGCAAGCGUUAUCCGGAUUUGUUGGGUGUAAAGGGCGGGUAGGCGGGACAGCAAGUCAGAUGUGAAAGCUCCGGGCUCCACCCUCUGCCUGCAUUUGAUACUGGUAUUCUUGAGUGAUAGAGAGGCAAUCGGAAUUCCGUGUGAAGCGGUGAAAUGCGUAGAUAUACGGAGGAACACCAGUGGCGAAGGCGGAUUGCUGGACAGUAACUGACGCUGAGGCGCGAAAGCGUGGGGAGCAAACAGGAUUAGAUACCCCUGUAGUC